UACGGAGGGUGCAAGCGUUAUCCGGAUUUACUGGGUUUAAAGGGUGUGUAGGCGGGCAUUUAAGUCUGGGGUGAAAUCUCCGAGCUCAACUCGGAAACUGCCUUGGAUACUAUUAGUCUUGAAUUUUGUUGAGGUAGGCGGAAUAAGUCUGUAGCGGUGAAAUGCAUAGAUAUGACUUAGAACACCAAUUGCGAAGGCAGCUUGCUAAACAAAUAUUGACGCUGAGGCACGAAAGCGUGGGGAUCAAACAGG
rnacentral:rRNA from 1 species